AGUGGGAUGGAUGGGUCAUAUGGUGGUUCCAGUUCUAGCUUUUUCAGGAAUCUCCACACUGCUGUCCAGAGUGGUUGUACUAAUUUGCUGUCUCACCAACAAU
rnacentral:miRNA from 1 species